rnacentral:rRNA from 1 species
GACGAACGCUGGCGGCGUGCUUAACACAUGCAAGUCGAACGGAAAGGCCCUGCUUGCAGGGUACUCGAGUGGCGAACGGGUGAGUAACACGUGGGUGAUCUGCCCUGCACUUCGGGAUAAGCCUUGGAAACUGGGUCUAAUACCGGAUAGGAGCCAUUUUUAGUGUGAUGGUUGGAAAGUUUUUUCGGUGUAGGAUGAGCUCGCGGCCUAUCAGCUUGUUGGGGGGGUAAUGGCCUACCAAGGCGGCGACGGGUAGCCGGCCUGAGAGGGUGGACGGCCACAUUGGGACUGAGAUGCGGCCCAGGCUCCUAAGGGAGGCAGCAGUGGGGAAUAUUGCCCCAUGGGCGCCAGGCUGAUGCAGCGACGCCGCGUGGGGGAUGACGGCCUUCGGGGUGUAAACUCCUUUCGCUAGGGAAGAAGCUUUUUGUGACGGUACCUAGAUAAGAAGCACCGGCUAACUACGUG